GGCGGCGGCGGCGGCUAACGGUCCAGGGAGGCAGGCGCGGCGGGAGCCGCUAGGCGGAGAGACGCCAGAUUUGUAUUUGAGACUCAAGUCCCGUGUAUCCAUGCCAAGGAGAACUGAUCUCUGACAUGGUUCCCAUGUUUAUUGCUGCCUUUUGGCCAAAACUACAGAGCUUCCACUGAUUUCAUAAUAUUAUACUCUUCCUGAGGAGAAAAUUAAGAAUUCCUUGAUGGAUCUGUUGUGCAACUGAAUUUUAAUUACAUAAGAAAGAAUAUGAUCUGAAUUUUUCACCUGAACCUUCAACAAAUGGUAAAGACGGCAUCUCAUGGGAAGAUCAGGAAUAAGAGAAUGACAACAAAAAUUAAGACAAAGAAUAGUUGUGAUAAAAUUGAAUAAAACAUUAUUAUUGGAAUCAGAA